AAGUAGAAUACAGAGAAAUAGGCCAUAAGCAACGGCAUGCUUACAGUGAUCCCAGAUACCGAACUCACCUACCCUGAGCUGCCAGUUCAGUAGUUUUGCACCGAUCCCAUCUAGUUGCGUAUGUGUAAGGAGAGGAGGAGGAAUGCAAAGCCAGAAGACCACUGUGGACUACAAAUGUGGAAGAGAAUUCUCUAAGAAUUAGAAGAUUGGUCUCAUUUCAUCUGACAAAAAACAAGAAAUACGUGCAGUCAAAUUGAAAUUCUGUUUGCAUCUCUUGUUGGCAGGGGGUGGCUUAUCAUUGUUUGUCCCACAGAUGUGUUUUGAAAUUGCCAACCAAUUAAAAUGCACAAAGUUAGCAAAACUGGUUACUCAUUUCCCCAAAAAUGUAUACUGAAUGUGCUGUAAAUGAACUUGUUUCAGGAAGUUCAGUGAACUAUACAGACUCCAGUUACUGGUAAUGACUCAAAAUAAGGCAAUAUAAAGGCCACAGCUGAGUACGGUUCUUACCCUUUACUUUUAGUUCUUGAUGUGGCUCGCUGAAAACUAUAAUUGAAAUGACUGGUUGAGUUAUGACUGCCAAACUCCGUCUUUGUUAACAUCUAAGUCUGAAGGCUGGAGUGCAAUGGCGCGAUCUCGGCUCACCGCAACCUCCGCCUCCUGGGUUCAGGCAAUUCUCCUGCCUCAGCCUCCUGAGUAGCUGGGAUUACAGGCACGCGCCACCAUGCCCAGCUACGCGGUGGCUCAAGCCUGUAAUCCCAGCACUUCUGGAUGCCGAGGCGGGUGGAUCACGAGGUCAAGAGAUCGAGACCAUCCUGGUCAACGUGGUGAAACCCCGUCUCUACUAAAAAUAAUCUUGCUCUAUCACCCACACUGGAGUUCAGUGGUGUGAUCCCGGCUCACUGCAACCUCCACCUCCAGGGUUCAGAUGAUUCUCCUGCCUCAGCCUCCCUAGUAGCUGGGACUACAGAUGCCUGCCACCAUGGCCAGCUAAUUUUUGUAUUUUUAGUAGACAUGAAGUUUCACUAUGUUGGCCAGGCUGGUCUUGAAUGCCUGACCUCAAGUCAUCAGCCUGCCUUGGCCUCCCAAGUGCUGGGGGGCUCACAGGUGUGAACCUGUGCCCAGCCAAAACAACAACAACACCAAAAAAAACCCCCCAAAAGUUUUCACCCUUACAAUAACAUAGCGACAUGUUAUUUAUUGGCAAGCCCUCUGUAUUGCCCAAUGAGUAGGUAGUAGGUAGCCUCCUACAUUUUCUUCCUCCCAGCAAAAAUAAAGUUUGGAAACUUCAAGUGACUUUGAGAGGU
rnacentral:lncRNA from 13 species